CAGCACCUCAAGUGGUCAGGAUGAUUAUUGGGCCUAAAGCAUCCGUAGCCGGCUCUGUAAGUUUUCGUUUAAAUCUGUACGCUCAACGUACAGGCUGCCGGGAAUACUGCAGAGCUAGGGAGUGGGAGAGGUAGACGGUACUCGGUAGGAAGGGGUAAAAUCCUUUGAUCUAUUGAUGACCACCUGUGGCGAAGGCGGUCUACCAGAACACGUCCGACGGUGAGGGAUGAAAGCUGGGGGAGCAAACCGGAUUAGAUACCCGAGUAGUCC
rnacentral:rRNA from 1 species